UACAGAGGGGGCAAGCGUUAUUCGGAAUUACUGGGCGUAAAGCGUGCGUAGGCGGUUUUUUAAGUCUGCUGUGAAAGCCCUGGGCUCAACCUGGGAAUGGCGGUGGAUACUGAGAAGCUGGAGUACGGUAGAGGAAGGUGGAAUUCCCGGUGUAGCGGUGAAAUGCGUAGAGAUCGGGAGGAACAUCAGUGGCGAAGGCGGCCUUCUGGACCAGUACUGACGCUGAGGCACGAAAGCGUGGGGAGCAAACAGG
rnacentral:rRNA from 1 species